CACAAAAUGACUGAAAG
rnacentral:tRNA from 1 species